UAGGAGAGGUACAUAGAUAUCUGACUACGCUCAGUGGAAACCACCCAGCACUAGCUCAUUGACAAAGGCCUAAAAGCAACUAGAAAGCCACAGAUUGCCUGAGAUUCUUACACCUGGAAGACUCGGACAGGUACAGUCCCAGAGAAUGGGCUAGAGAAGAGAGAAG
rnacentral:lncRNA from 1 species